UUUUCUCCCUCUUCAACAAGCCAUUGUGUCUCUAAUUCCUUAUUUUUACCCUUAUAACCCCAUUUUGGUACCCAUUCACCAGAUGCUUCAUCAAACACCAACCUGCCUUCCCGCUUCUUAGGAGCAAUACCUUUAAUACGAGCAAACCGUUGCCAUUUGGUUUCGGGCUUGGGUUUAGGUAAAGGUUUAGCACGAGGAAGAGGUGUAACAGUUUCAGGAAGCUGUAAAAGGACGCCAUCUGAUGUACGCUCCUUAGGCAAGGAAAUCAUUUUGUUCACCAAUUGUUGAACGUUAUCUCUACUGAGAGAAAAAAGGAAUGAUUCUUUCUCUGAACCGCUAAGCUUAGUUUCAUCUAAGGGAGAAAUAUCAAAUGCAGCCAUAUUUCCCAAAUCGAAAUCUAGAGGAAUGGAGUUUUCUAUUUGUGCAGACAUGAUUAACGAAAUAGGGACAAGGAAAAAAAAAGGGUUGAUAAUACAAUUAAGUGACAAAAAGUUCUCAAAAAAGACUGCAAAAUUGAUUUGUUAAAAAGU